rnacentral:rRNA from 1 species
UACGGGAGGCAGCAGUGGGGAAUAUUGCACAAUGGGCGAAAGCCUGAUGCAGCUAUGCCGCGUGUAUGAAGAAGGCCUUAGGGUUGUAAAGUACUUUCAUCGGGGAGGAAAAAACAAAACUAAUAAUUUUAUUUCUUGACGUUACCCGAAAAAGAAGCACCGGCUAACUCCGUGCCAGCAGCCGCGGUAAUACGGAGGGUGCUAGCUUUAAUCAGAAUUACUGGGCGUAAAGAGCACGUAGGUGGUUUUUUUAAGUCAGAUGUGAAAUCCCUGGGCUUAACCUAGGAACUGCAUUUUGAAACUGAAAUACUAGAGUAUCGUAGAGGGAGGUAGAAUUCUAGGUGUAGCGGUGAAAUGCGUAGAUAUCUGGAGGAAUACCUGUGGCGAAAGCGGCCUCCUAAACGAAUACUGACACUGAGGUGCGAAAGCGUGGGGAGCAAACAGGGAUUAGAUACC